UAAUAAUAAGGGAGCUUCCAUUUGAUUUUUAUGGGGGGCUAGGAUGAAAUUUGAAAAAAAUAGGCAGGACAGGAGUUUUGAGUAAAAAAAAAAGGCAGGAUGAGCAACUUGGUAAAAAAAAAGGCAGGAUGACAAUUUGUGUAAAAAAAAGUCAGGAUAAACUAGUAAAAAAAAAGGCAGGACCGAAUAGAGUAAAAAAUAAAAAGGCAGGACAGGGAUUACAACUAAAAAAAAAAAGCAGGACAAAAUUUUUCAUCCUAGCCCCCCCAUAAAAAUCAAAUGGUAGCUCCCUAACUGCCA
rnacentral:lncRNA from 1 species